UGGGGAAUUUUGGACAAUGGGGGAAACCCUGAUCCAGCCAUCCCGCGUGUGCGAUGAAGGCCUUCGGGUUGUAAAGCACUUUUUGCAGGAAAGAAACGUCAUGGGUUAAUACCCCGUGAAACUGACGGUACCUGCAGAAUAAGCACCGGCUAACUACGUGCCAGCAGCCGCGGUAAUACGUAGGGUGCAAGCGUUAAUCGGAAUUACUGGGCGUAAAGCGUGAGCAGGCGGUUCGGAAAGAAAAAUGUGAAAUCCCAGAGCUCAACGUUGGAACUGCAUUUGUAACUACCGGGCUAGAGUGUGUCAGAGGGAGGUGGAAUUCCGCGUGUAGCAGUGAAAUGCGUAGAUAUGCGGAGGAACACCGAUGGCGAAGGCAGCCUCCUGGGAUAACACUGACGCUCAUGCACGAAAGCGUGGGGAGCAAACAGG
rnacentral:rRNA from 1 species